rnacentral:rRNA from 1 species
UACGGAGGGUGCAAGCGUUGCUCGGAAUUAUUGGGCGUAAAGGGUAGGUAGGUGGUCUCAUUUGUCUGAGGUGAAAGCCCAGGGCUUAACCCUGGAAGUGCCUCAGAAACGGUGAGACUGGAGUACUGGAGAGGGUCGUGGAAUUCCAGGUGUAGCGGUGAAAUGCGUAGAUAUCUGGAGGAACACCGGUGGCGAAGGCGGCAUCCUGGACCGACACUGACGCUGAGGAGCGAAAGCCAGGGGAGCAAACGGG